rnacentral:misc_RNA from 1 species
UGGAAGUAAAAGUCGUAACAAGGUUUCCGUAGGUGAACCUGCGGAAGGAUCAUUACUGUGAUUUAGUACUACACUGCGUGAGCGGAACGAAAACAACAACACCUAAAAUGUGGAAUAUAGCAUAUAGUCGACAAGAGAAAUCUACGAAAAACAAACAAAACUUUCAACAACGGAUCUCUUGGUUCUCGCAUCGAUGAAGAGCGCAGCGAAAUGCGAUACCUAGUGUGAAUUGCAGCCAUCGUGAAUCAUCGAGUUCUUGAACGCACAUUGCGCCCCUCGGCAUUCCGGGGGGCAUGCCUGUUUGAGCGUCGUUUCCAUCUUGCGCGUGCGCAGAGUUGGGGGAGCGGAGCGGACGACGUGUAAAGAGCGUCGGAGCUGCGACUCGCCUGAAAGGGAGCGAAGCUGGCCGAGCGAACUAGACUUUUUUUCAGGGACGCUUGGCGGCCGAGAGCGAGUGUUGCGAGACAACAAAAAGCUCGACCUCAAAUCAGGUAGGAAUACCCGCUGAACUUAAGCAUAUCAAUAAGCGGAGGA